rnacentral:lncRNA from 1 species
UGAGUCACCAGUUGGGCUCUGGCUGUGCUUCCUGCUGGUGUCUGUGCCACCAACACGGAGUAAAUGAAGCCUCCACCUGGAACUAAAGGCAGCUGAGUCCUUCCGGGAGGGACGGGCACCUCUGCUUUCCAUGUGAAGCCACAGCUUGGAGACCCUAGUGACCCCCCUCACCUCUCACACCCAAGCCCAGGCCCAGGUCAGGGCUCCUCAGGGACCCUGCGUCCCUGUGAGGUAAGCGAUCUGGGAGGUGUCGCUAGCAGCACUUUGGAACUUGGGCCCAGCCAGGUGGAGAAACUGAGGCAGGCAGCUCCUUAUUCACAGGCAUUUGUGUCUUCUGAAUAUGUCCACGCUGCCCCUCCUCGACACCCCAUCUCCCACACUGGUCCUCCCACCUUCUCUUAGACCGUGAUCAUGUCCCCUGCUUACCCUGGGUACCCCUCCAAAAGCCAGAGGUGGCUUUUGUUGUUUUGCUGGUAGUUGGGGUUGAACCCAGGGCCUCAUGCAAGCCAGGCCACAGAGUUCUUUAAAAACAUAAAUCAUAGCCAGGCAUGGUGGUGCAUGCCUGUAAUCACAGCACUUGGGAGGCUGAGGCAGGAGGAUCACCAGACUACAUACUGAGUUCAAGGUCAGCCUGAACUACAUAUAAGACCCUGUCUCAAACCAAACCACACCAAAAGCCGUGAGUUCA